rnacentral:rRNA from 1 species
UACAGAGACUGCAAGCGUUAUUCGGAUUCACUGGGCGUAAAGGGUGCGCAGGCGGCCAAGUGUGUGAGGCGUGAAAGCCCGGGGCUUAACCCCGGAAUUGCACCUCAAACUACAUGGCUAGAGCAUUGGAGAGGGUAGCAGAAUUCAUGGUGUAGCAGUGAAAUGCGUAGGUAUCAUGAGGAAUACCAGAGGCGAAGGCGGCUACCUGGACAAUUGCUGACGCUCAGGCACGAAAGCGUGGGGAGCAAAAGGG